rnacentral:rRNA from 1 species
AUACGGAGGAUGCGAGCGUUAUCCGGAUUUAUUGGGUUUAAAGGGAGCGUAGGCGGACGCUUAAGUCAGUUGUGAAAGUUUGCGGCUCAACCGUAAAAUUGCAGUUGAUACUGGGUGUCUUGAGUACAGUAGAGGCAGGCGGAAUUCGUGGUGUAGCGGUGAAAGGCUUAGAUAUCACGAAGAACUCCGAUUGCGAAGGCAGGCUGCUGGACUGUAACAGACGCUGAUGCUCGAAAGUGUGGGUAUCAAACAUGAUUAGAUACCCUGGUAGUCCCCACAGUAAACGAUGAAUACUCGGUGUUUGCGAUAUACAGUAAGCGGCCAAGCGAAAGCGUUAAGUAUUCCACCUGGGGAGUACGCCGGCAACGGUGAAACUCAAAUGAAUUGGCGGGG